rnacentral:rRNA from 1 species
CCUACGGGGGGCAGCAGUGGGGGAUAUUGCACAAUGGGGGAAACCCUGAUGCAGCGACGCCGCGUGGGUGAAGAAGCGCCUCGGCGCGUAAAGCCCUGCCCGCAGGGAAGAAAAUGACGGUACCUGAAGAAGAAGCCCCGGCUAACUACGUGCCAGCAGCCGCGGUAAUACGUAGGGGGCAAGCGUUAUCCGGAUUUACUGGGUGUAAAGGGGGCGCAGACGGCGAUGCAAGCCAGGAGUGAAAGCCCGGGGCCCAACCCCGGGACUGCUCUUGGAACUGCGUGGCUAGAGUGCAGGAGGGGCAG